CCUUCAUGAUGACAACCCACAUACGUCUUACGCCGUGUGUCAAUGCCAGACCUGAAAAGGUGAACCCACUGGUGUUGCCACGGCAACAGGGUGAUGACCUGUUGGGGUUACCAACGGUCUGAUUGGA